UUGGGCUCCAAUCAAGAGUGUGGGAGCAGUAAGGAAGGUGGAAAUCAGAACAAAGUCAAGUCCAUGGCGAAUCAGCUGCUGGCCAAGUUUGAGGAGAGCACUCGGAACCCCUCACUCAUGAAGCAGGAAUCUAUGCGAAAGUCAUUUCCCCUUAACCUGGGAGGCAGCGACACAUGUUACUUCUGUAAGAAACGUGUGUACGUGAUGGAACGGCUGAGCGCCGAGGGCCACUUCUUCCACCGGGAGUGUUUCCGCUGCAGCAUCUGUGCCACCACCUUGCGCCUGGCCGCCUACACCUUUGACUGCGAUGAAGGUAACCCCAGGGGCCAGGGCAGCACUGGGCUCUGGCCUUGGCCUCAGGUGUGACCUUGGCUCAGGUUCCUGUCCCUCUGGUGGCUCUAGGACACCCAAACAUACCCAAAAGGAAGUAUGAUGUCAUCAGGAAAGCUGCUCAGGGAGACUGGGAGCUCCUGCUAGAAGGGGAGGCUGCCUGUGGUCCCAGGGAAGGGGUAGCAUCAGCACUGUGGUAUGGCAUACCAGAUCCUGGUGGGCACCUGUGUGCCCAGGGCUCUAUG
rnacentral:sRNA from 1 species